rnacentral:rRNA from 1 species
AACGAACGCUGGCGGCGCGCCUAAUACAUGCAAGUCGAGCGAGAAGACGUAGCAAUACGUUUGUAAAGCGGCGAACGGGUGAGGAAUACAUGGGUAACCUACCCUCGAGUGGGGAAUAACUAGCCGAAAGGUUAGCUAAUACCGCGUACGCUCCUUGGACUUCGGUUCAGGGAGGAAAGCGAUACCGUGGGUAUCGCCCUCUUGGAUGGGCUCAUGUCCUAUCAGCUUGUUGGUGAGGAACGGCUCACCAAGGCUUCGACGGGUAGCUGGUCUGAGAGGACGAUCAGCCACACUGGCACUGCGACACGGGCCAGACUCCUACGGGAGGCAGCAGUAAGGAAUAUUGCGCAAUGGGCGAAAGCCUGACGCAGCGACGCCGCGUGGGGGAUGAAGGUCUUCGGAUUGUAAACCCCUUUCGGGAGGGAAGAUGGAACGAGCAAUCGUUCGGACGGUACCUCCAGAAGCAGCCACGGCUAACUUCGUGCCAGCAGCCGCCGUAAC